AAGUCGUAACAAGGUUUCCGUAGGUGAACCUGCGGAAGGAUCAUUAUCGAGUUUUGAACGGGUUGUAGCUGGCCUUUAACGAGGCAUGUGCACACCUGGCUCAUCCACUCUCAACCUCUGUGCACUUUAUGUAAGAAAACGGUGUAAGCCAGCUAUUUAAUAGUUGGUAACAAGCCUUUCUUAUGUUUACUACAAACGCUUCAGUUAUAGAAUGUUUACUGUGUAUAACACAAUUAUAUACAACUUUCAGCAACGGAUCUCUUGGCUCUC
rnacentral:misc_RNA from 1 species